rnacentral:lncRNA from 1 species
GGCGUCGGCAGUGUCCCAGCUGGCCUUUCGUCAUGGGUGAGUGUUCCUGGGAGAGACUGGCACUGGGGGCGAGGAGGCACGUGGGUGAGCACAGGGUCCUGCCUAGGGACCUGUGAGUGGGGGUUGGGGGCUGCCUCACUGCACCCCCAUCCAGCUGUCCUGCGUGGCUCUCCCUCUGAGAAGUCUCAGCCCUGGUCACCCUGCAGGUCCCCUCCCAUCUAGGCCUGGCCUCCUUCUGCCUAGACUGAGGGGUCUGCAGCUCAGUUCCGCUCCCUUUGGCUCUUACUUCCCCUGGAUUCCCCCCAGAAUUGGCCUCCUGUAGGCUUUCACCAUGUUGACGGGACCCCUCUGUCCUGCUGCAUCUCAGAUCCAGAGCACUGAGGUCUGAAUUCUGACCCUUUUAUUUUUCUCUUGCCCAAAUUGCUUUCUAGGAGGUUUGGUGAGUCACACCUACAAACCCUAUAAGCGAUCAAAUCUCAUUAAAGGGGAUUUAUUAACCUGGUAUGACGUGGCUUACUUUCCAACCUGAAUCUGGCAGAGCAUCACGUGACAGAGACCCCCUUGUCUUAAGUGGGGCGUUCCCUUCUGCUGCCUCCAGGGCUUUAGACAGAGCUUACCUCUUUCAACCAGUUGCCAACUAGAAAAAUUCCUAAAUGCCCCCUGUGACUUGUAACCCCUACUUUGAGAUGGCCUACCUUUCUGGGCAGACAGAUGUAAACCCUCUACGUACCGACAGGCAGCCAACUGGGUCGGGACAUGCAGAUCCAUUUGGGACAAGCCAUCUGUCUAGCAGUCCGCACCUUCUCCAGAAGUCCAGCUUCUCUGAGUGAAGCAGGGAGAGCCAGGCAGGGUCAUUCCUUCCUCCAAGCCCAACCUGGACAACCCCCUCCCGAUCAGUGGGAGUUGGCUCAGAGAGUGGAGGGGAGGCCAGUGUGGCGUCACUCACGGAAUGUUCUUUUGGUUUCCAGGCGAAAUUGCAACUAUGAUUAAAAAUGCUGUGUUCUCCACCGCUAUGACCGUAUUGGUCCAGGCCAUCGUCUUCCCUGGGGCAGGAAUGGCUGCAGGCUUAAUGACCAGGAUGACGUCCGCAGCGGCCAAAACUGUCACCAGAGUUGCUGUCGGCAGCCUGAGGGUUGCUCUGCGGUCACUGAGUAAGUGUCUGGGCAGGGCUAGCUGGGGAGGGCAAGGAGGAGGACAAGAGCCUCCAAGCACCCAGCCCCGGUCUCAGCCCUGCCAUCCCAGCCCUGUUCCUUUGUCUCACCUCCACAUUGUCUCUCUGGGCUACUCUGAGGGAGGCAGGAGCCCUGGCCUGGGGCAGGUCGGGGUCAGGACAAUCCUGUCUGAAGCAGAGUUGCCAGGUUCCUUGGGGGCAUCUCCGUACCUUGGGGGUUCAACAGAGAACCAACCACCCGGGUUCACGACACUGGGCUGCCGCUGCAGCAACCCUUUCCAAAGGAGACAUCCUGAGGGUUCUGGGAAGAGGGGUGGUGAUGCCAGGUGGGGUCUCUAG